UGUGCUGUGGAGUAAAACCUCUACUCUAUUGGCCUAGAGGCUGAUAACACUGACCCACAGUCAAGCACUACCCUGGGGGAGCCACUCAUGUGCUCGGUAAAGCUUCAUCACCCGCACACUAGCGAUGGAGGCAAAGAGAGAUGAGUGGAUGUGCUCCAGUGACAGCAGCUGACCCAUGAUGUGUAUUUCUAUCCCCUAAGGAGUGUUAGUGUCACUAUACACACAUACCCGCAUAUACUGUGCAGCCUCGGAGCACUAUGGGACCUCUCCACAAUCACUGGCUCCUUUCCACUGUGUGAGCACGACUCCAUGUGCCCUGGGCAAGAUCAGACCCUGCUGUUCCUCUGUGUGUGAUUUGGAGCCGGUUGGACUCUAAGCUUCCUGCAUGCAGCCAGGAUUUUAGAAGAUUUAGCCCCAUGAAUCUGAGCAGCUCGACUCCGAUUAGACCAUCUGAGAGCCUGUGCAAUGGAUGGAAAACAACUUUUUGUAUCUGAAAUGUAAAACCAGUAAUGGAUGGAUAUUGGUUCAUGUCAAAUUAUUCUGUACAUUUCAAAGAGACAUUUUAUCUGGCCUCUAAACAGCCAUUUCCCUUUUGCCUUUAUGUGUUGAUGCGCAUUUUUGCUUAUUUAUUCCUAUUAAUCUUUUUGAUUACUUAUUUAUUCAUUUGGAGGGGGUUCGAGUAUUUCAAUCUGUCCCAAUCUGUUGCCUGCGUAAUCCUAAUCUUCCGUUCAGUAAUCAGUGGUCCUUCUGGUAGAUGCAGGGGUGGCUAUGCUCUGCCUUUGAUGGGAUUAUGUAGCACUCGUAGCGGGAUCCAGACACACAGGAGCAGGCAAACAAAAGAUGAGCCCAGUAAGUCCCCUUAUCCGUUCAUUCUCUAAGUGGAUUUGAUAGACGGCCAUUGCACUGUUGUGCCUUUUUCUCCAUAUGCUUCACUUCAAUAAAAGAGAAUGACGGCAAUGUGCUGCAGGUGCAAUCAUCCUUCUAAACGUUGCUCUAUAUCCAUGACUUCAUCCAGCCAGACUGACUGGUUUAGUGAGACCGACUCCAAGAAAGAGUCGUUGCCACAUGCUAGAGAGCUUCGUCUUUGCCAAUAGCAUGGGGCACUUGAAAGAUCAUUAAUCUGUUUGUUUAUAUCUUACCCUUUUUAUUUCUUACCUAAAACAAGGGUGUGCCAAGACAUACACCUUAAUCCCUGGUUGACAAAGGCCUAAAUGUCCUGACCUAUGUUUGAACAUUUAAACACAAUGUUUGAAUUUAACAAAUGAAUGAAAACAUGUAAGCCUAACUACCUG